rnacentral:RNase_P_RNA from 1 species
GCGGCCGGACGGGCAGUCGCGGGCCCGGUGCGUCCCCCAGGGGGGAUACGGCCGGCGUCCGAGGCAAAGUCCGGUCUCCACAGGGCAGCGUGCCGGCUAACGGCCGGGGGGGCGCGCUCAAAGCGCGCUUCACGGAAAGUGCCACAGAAAACAGACCGCCGGCCGCGGCAACGCGGCAGGCAAGGGUGAAAAGGUGCGGUAAGAGCGCACCGCGUUCCGGGUAACCGGAAUGGCAGGGUAAACCCCACGCGGAGCAAGACCAAAUAGGGGAGGAUGGAGUGGCCCGCUCCGCCUGACUCCCGGGUAGGUCGCUGGAGCCCGUCAGCAAUGGCGGGCCUAGAGGAAUGACUGCCGCCCGGCCGCAAGGCCGGGUCCAGAAACCGGCUUACAGUCCGGCCGCUCCC